rnacentral:rRNA from 1 species
AUUGAACGCUGGCGGCAGGCCUAACACAUGCAAGUCGAGCGAGCGGCGGAAGGGUGAGUAAUGUAUGGGGAUCUGCCCGAUAGAGGGGGAUAACUACUCGAAAGAGGGGCUAAUACCGCAUACUAUUGGAGCGGCCGAUAGCGGAUUAGCUAGUGGGGGGGGUAAAGGCCCACCAAGGCAACGAUCCGUAGCUGGUUUGCGAGGACGACCAGCCACCCUGGGACUGAGACACGUCCCAUACUCGUACGCGAGGCGUCAGUGGGGAAUUUUGGACAAUGUGGGAAACCCUGAUCCAGCCAUCCCGCGUGUAUGAGAAGGCCUUCGGGUUGUAAAGUACUUUUGGCAGAGAAGCGGUAUCUGCAGAAUAAGCACCGGCUAACUACGUGCCAGCAGCCGCGGUAAUAC